GACGAACGCUGGCGGCGUGCUUAACACAUGCAAGUCGAACAGUGGCGGACGGGUGAGUAAUACUUGGGAAUCUCGCUUAUGGAGGGGGAUAACUACGGGAAACUGUAGCUAAUACCGCGUACCAUAGGAUGAGCCCAAGUGGGAUUAGGUAGUUGGUGGGGUAAAGGCUCACCAAGCCGACGAUCUCUAGCUGGUCUGAGAGGAUGACCAGCCACACUGUGACUGAGACACGGCCCAGACGCCUACGGGAGGCAGCAGGGGGGAAUAUUGGGCAAUGGGGGCAACCUGACCCAGCCAUGCCGCGUGAAUGAAGAAGGCCUUCGGGUUGUAAAGUACUUUCGGUAGCGAGGCGUUAACUACAGAAGAAGCACCGGCUAACUCCGUGCCAGCAGCCGCGGUAAUAC
rnacentral:rRNA from 1 species